UAAUCAUUUGUCUAUUAAUUGUAGACCCGUAUGAAAGGCCACAUGAGAGCCAAACUGUCUCUUGUAACCAAUCAAUUAAACUGAUCUUCUAGUACAAAAGCUAGAAUGCAAAUAUAAGACCAGAAGACCCUGUGAAGCUUAAACUAACCUACUAAACAAACUAGUAGCUACUUUCGGUUGGGGCGACCUCGGAACAAAACAAAACUUCCGAAUACCAUGAGCCAUUCCUCAUAAAAUCCAGGCAAACAAGCCAACAUACGACCCAGUAUUACUGAUAAUUGAACCAAGUUACUCCAGGGAUAACAGCGCUAUCUUCUUCAAGAGCCCAUAUCAAAAAGAAGGUUUACGACCUCGAUGUUGGAUCAGGACACCCAAAUGGUGCAGCCGCUAUUAAAGGUU
rnacentral:rRNA from 1 species